CUGACUUGGUGGGAAAUGAAUAUACUCGGGCGUCUUAACAAGUAUGAGAACCCCAACAGGCUUCUGAACAUUUUUGAUAUCGUGGCAGCUCUCCGAGCCUUCAAGCAGUCUGCACCCAAGUAUGUAGAGCAUAUCCUGCUGAAAUGGCUGGCAUCUUGCUUAGGAUCCAAGUGUGAAAUAUCUCAUAAAUUAUUGUCUGAAGCGCCUAAGCUUCGGACCAUGCACUCAUCCCGUCAGUUGCACCGCAUAAACAUAAUCAGCAGGGAAGUGGUGCUUAAAGAAUUCAUGACAGAGAACGUGAGCGGAAAAGAACAUGUAUUAGAAGGCUCGAGUUGUGACAAGAAGAAGAAAUAAAUCUGUGGAUGGACUUUCUACUUAGCUGUGAAAAAGAACUCUUGUUGAGGCUUGUCAGCAUUAGUAUUUCAUCAGAAGAAUUUUCCGGAGUUGGAGGUGAUGGAUUGCCACAGAUGAAGCAGUGGCUUUUGCAAAAUGUGAAAGACGAAUACAUAUUCCUUGCAGCAGAAAUUAGAGAGGUUAAGAAGAGGAUAUCACAUCUAUUUCAUUUCUCAUUGGGAAACUAGAGGAAACCUCAGAACAUGAAGUGCAUGAGCGCUGCCACUUCUGCACAGGCAUUGUGCCAUUCGAAUCAACUGAGUACGCAACUUGCUCCGGAUCAAUAGACAAAAUGGGGUUAAUCGAACGCACAAGCUUCAAAGGUGUGCAGUUACUCUCCAGGUUCUACCAACUAAGCCCUCCUGGUAUUGUAUGUGUUGCCACAGACGGGCUUCAAAGAUGGCGCCCACCAUUUUGUUUGCCAUGCCCACGUAUCGUUCCGAUUUCAAGUCUUUCAUAGAGUCUCCUACUCACAAGCAUACUUCGACACCAUACUGUCCCUUCUGCGGCAUACUUCUACAUAGAUCGCAACCGCAAUAUUUUCUGUCACCUUCCCCAGUUUAAACCAGAUUCUUCCAAUUGCAAUGCAUUGCUUGUAGAAGUAUGAUGUUGAUUUAUGGAAAAUGAAAGCAUUGAUGGGAUCAAAGUUGAGAAUAUGCUGCUAAUGUCACAUUCAUAGGUUGUACAAGUCAUGGAAGAAACAGUUGAAUACAUUAUGUACAGUAUGCUGACUUUAAUGAUUAGUUAAUUAUGAUUACCGCAAGGAAAAAAAAUGUUGCAUUUUCCA